rnacentral:rRNA from 1 species
GACGAACGCUGGCGGCGUGCUUAACACAUGCAAGUCGAACGGAAAGGCCCUGCUUUUGUGGGGUGCUCGAGUGGCGAACGGGGGAGUAACACGUGAGUAACCUGCCCUUGACUUUGGGAUAACUUCAGGAAACUGGGGCUAAUACCGGAUAUGAGCUCCUGCUGCAUGGUGGGGGUUGGAAAGUUUCGGCGGUUGGGGAUGGACUCGCGGCUUAUGAGCUUGUUGGUGGGGUAGUGGCUUACCAAGGCUUUGACGGGUAGCCGGCCUGAGAGGGUGACCGGCCACAUUGGGACUGAGAUACGGCCCAGACUCCUACGGGAGGCAGCAGUGGGGAAUAUUGCACAAUGGGCGGAAGCCUGAUGCAGCAACGCCGCGUGCGGGAUGACGGCCUUCGGGUUGUAAACCGCUUUCGCCUGUGACGAAGCGUGAGUGACGGUAAUGGGUAAAGAAGCACCGGCUAACUACGUG